AAGGAAGUGAGCAAACAUCAAAGGGGAGAGGAAGACCCCGAGUGCCACUCCAGAGCCGCUCCCGGGGCGGGAGCUGAGCCUCGGAGGAGUCGGGAAGGGUUUUCAGCUCCACCUCCUUAGUGACAAGAGAGCCAAAUUCAGACCGUGGUGAGCUGUGGCCGUUCACAUCCACCAGAGGGACACAGAGGUCGCUAUUAUGAGGACGUGUCGGCUGACACAGCCGCCUUGGAAGAGCUGUCACGGUUUACCAACAGAUGCUUGUGUGUGUUGCCAUUCCCAGUGAAAUGCUUGUGCCUGAGAAAGAAACGCAACCACAUAAAUGAGGCACAUAGAGAUGGCCUCUGAGAUUUGCUUUUCUUUCUGUGUCCA